GCCUGCCUCAGCCUCUGGAGUAGCUGGGAUUACAGGCACGUGCCACCAUGCCCAGCUAAUUUUUUUACUUUUUGCAGAGACAGGGUUUCGCCAUGUUGGCCAGGCUGGUCCCCAACUCCUGACCUCAAGUGAUCCACCCGCCUCGGCUUCCCAAAGUGCUGGGAUUACAGGCGUGAGCCAUCGCACCUGGCCUGAGUUUGCAUUUCUAAGUUCCCAGAUGAUGUGACAGCUACUGGUUUCCAGCCACACCUUGAGAACACUUGGCUUUCACUAUCACUUCUUAAACUUAAAGGGUCUUCUCUGUUGCCAGGCUGGAGUGCAGUGCUGCAGUCAUGGCUCACUGUAGUGUCAAUCUCCUGAGCUCAGGAAAACUAGACAAUCCACCAGCCCAGGAGGGGACAAGCAGGCUUAAUCCCCCUCCUCGUCAUCUCUGGCUCCAGCCCCACCCUGGCCCUUCCUGGCAUUCUUCCUCUUCACGUGGCUGGGGUGGCCACCCCAAUAGGGAGGCAGAGGGAGAAGUCCAUGUGCUUCUGGGAAUCCAGGCGGACAGUGAAGAACAGGAUAUUUACCACCUGCUCACGGAUAUGAUACUGUUGGAUCAGCACACGAGCGUGGCGGAUGGACUUAAGCCAAGCCCAGCUUGAAGACCUGGGUC
rnacentral:sRNA from 1 species